GAUGAACGCUGGCGGCGUGCCUAAUACAUGCAAGUCGAGCGAACGGACGAGAAGCUUGCUUCCCUGAUGUUAGCGGCGGACGGGUGAGUAACACGUGGAUAACCUACCUAUAAGACUGGGAUAACUUCGGGAAACCGGAGCUAAUACCGGAUAAUAUUUUGAACCGCAUGGUUCAAAAGUGAAAGACGGUCUUGCUGUCACUUAUAGAUGGAUCCGCGCUGCAUUAGCUAGUUGGUAAGGUAACGGCUUACCAAGGCAACGAUGCACAGCCGACCUGAGAGGGUGAUCGGCCACACUGGAACUGAGACACGGUCCAGACUCCUACGGGAGGCAGCAGUAGGGAAUCUUCCGCAAAGGGCGAAAGCCUGACGGAGCAACGCCGCGUGAGUGAUGAAGGUCUUCGGAUCGUAAAACUCUGUUAUUAGGGAAGAACAUAUGUGUAAGUAACUGUGCACAUCUUGACGGUACCUAAUCAGAAAGCCACGGCUAACUACGUG
rnacentral:rRNA from 1 species